GUGUCAGCAGCCGCGGUAAGACGAACCACACAAACGUUAUUCGGAAUUACUGGGCUUAAAGGGUGCGUAGGCGGCGCAGAAAGUAGGGUGUGAAAUCCCUCGGCUCAACCGAGGAACUGCGCCCUAAACUACUGUGCUCGAGGGAGGUAGAGGUGAGCGGAACUUAGGGUGGAGCGGUGAAAUGCGUUGAUAUCCUAAGGAACACCGGUGGCGAAAGCGGCUCACUGGACCUCUUCUGACGCUGAGGCACGAAAGCUAGGGUAGCGAACGGGAUUAGAAACCCCCGUAGUCC
rnacentral:rRNA from 1 species